rnacentral:lncRNA from 1 species
UAUAUAUAUAUAUGUAUCUAAAUCCUACUUAAGGAGAAGCUUUAGGGUUAAUAAUCAACGGAAGGGCGAACUCGACCCAAAGGGGAAUAUUUGGAUUCGCCCUUACGUUUUAAAGCUAAAAUUCUCAAUGACGGGGGUUCAAAACAAUGCUUAAAAUCUAUUCCAGCAGAGGGCAGUAUUCCUUUUUACUUCCUACGAACUUUGGGCCAAAUCUACCCAGCAGUACUCUGACAUUACAAUCAUGCACAAAACUGUGUGUAUAUACCGUUUGGAGGAAAACUGGUUGCUAAGGCGAAUUGAUGUAUAUGCUGACAAUCUUUGUAAAAUGGGGUAUAUAUCAACAUUAUCUGUCAAUGAAAAUGUAACUCAAUCCACCACCUACGUUAUCCCAAAACUACACCACAAUAUAUAAACUGUACAAAACAUGAAUGCUUUUAAUCCUAAUAGUGCCCCUCCUUUUUCGAAAAUCUCUAUAUAUUUUACUUUUAUAUCUUCUACGAAGAUUUCGCUGUUACAAUGAUAAGCGUUUGCAACGUGAACAUGUAGUGUGCACGAGAACAGCGAAAAGCACAAAUUACCGAGCGCGCAGGCCUCGGCAGCGCCUAGCACGGCCUAGCAUAUGGGAGCUGCACUAGGCGGCCGGCCUGGCCCGGCUGCCCCGGCGCAGCGCGGCCGGUGCAGGUGAUUAGGUCGAGGAGCUGCGUCGCGCCUAAAACCAGUGCAGCCGACCGAACACGACGCCUUCCGCCAGUGAGUGGAAAGUUUCUUGAAAGUUUCCUGAAAGUUUCCUGAAACUGUAAAUACUACGACAGAUGGUGGACUGUACUCACUAAGAAGAAGAACUUUAAGUUUUGGAUAUAUUUCUAGCAACUUAACGCAAUAACGGUCGUGGUGUAGUUGCUACAAGGGAUAUUACAAGAAGUGAAUUUAUAGCUGAAUAUGAAGGGCAUCUGGUUACAGAAGAACUUGAAAGAAGGGAAGAACAAAUGUCUUCAGAUGUGAAUUCACCUGGAAAUUCACCUGUGAACAAGUGUCUUCAGAUAUGAAUUCACCUGGAAAGGAAAGAAACUAUGCCGGAUCAUCUGUUGGUGUACCAACCCUUGGACCUCUUUCUCCUCCUAGAGUCCCGCAGAGUCCCACUAAGGAACGCCUUGAUCCUCAAAAUUCAUCAUGAUGUAAUGAUGGAGCUGGAUCAUCUGGUGGUGUAUCAGCCCCUGGACCUCUUUGUCCUCCUAGGAAAAAUCCUACCCUGGUACCCCUCAAUCGUCAGGAAGAUUCAUCAAGAGAACGGAGGUACACGAGAUGGGAGUCUGGGGAAACGGCUCAACUAAAAGAGUUCUUCAAAGAAUACUUCACAUCAACUCAAACAAAACUUCCAUCAAGAGCAGAAAUUAGAAAAUUCAAAAUGAGAUUUCCAGCCUUCAGACAUGAUGUAAGGACCAUAGCAACCAAGGUCAUGAACGAGGUGCGGAAGACCGAACGACUGACAGAGGAAAGAGUCAAACGAAUUGGGAUAAGAUAAUGAGGUGAUGGGCUAACAGGUUAAUCGGGACAUUUAUGGUAACAGUAACACGCAUCUUUUAGGAUAGAUUCCGGAUUGUGCUUAGAAUAAAAUAAACUUACAGUCUUCAUAAAUCCCUUUUGAGUGUUUUCAACAAUCCAAUUAGUGAAGUCUUUCUAUAUGAGCUCACCUGAGCCGAAGGCUUAUAACUGCACAGAUGCUCGUCCCUGCAAAAACUGUCGCCUCAUGGGCAACAGAGCAUGCGGAUAGUGAUUAAUCACCUAAAUAUUAGCUGUGGGGUCAUGCUUGUUAUCAAUUAUUUUAUGGUACUUUGAUGAAUUGUGUUAGGGUCCCUUACAAUCAAGUGGGUGGAGCAUUGGAGGAGUACCCUCUCAUGAUCGAGGAUUUUAAAUAAAAUAAUGCAUGCAAACAUAUUUUUAAAAUGUGAUUCAGGCAAUUGCAGGGGCAUAGGUAGUUGAU